GUGUGACUGCGUACCUUUUGUAUAAUGGGUCAGCGACUUAUAUUCUGUAGCAAGGUUAACCGAAUAGGGGAGCCGAAGGGAAACCGAGUCUUAACUGGGCGUUAAGUUGCAGGGUAUAGACCCGAAACCCGGUGAUCUAGCCAUGGGCAGGUUGAAGGUUGGGUAACACUAACUGGAGGACCGAACCGACUAAUGUUGAAAAAUUAGCGGAUGACUUGUGGCUGGGGGUGAAAGGCCAAUCAAACCGGGAGAUAGCUGGUUCUCCCCGAAAGCUAUUUAGGUAGCGCCUCGUGAAUUCAUCUCCGGGGGUAGAGCACUGUUUCGGCAAGGGGGUCAUCCCGACUUACCAACCCGAUGCAAACUGCGAAUACCGGAGAAUGUUAUCACGGGAGACACACGGCGGGUGCUAACGUCCGUCGUGAAGAGGGAAACAACCCAGACCGCCAGCUAAGGUCCCAAAGUCAUGGUUAAGUGGGAAACGAUGUGGGAAGGCCCAGACAGCCAGGAUGUUGGCUUAGAAGCAGCCAUCAUUUAAAGAAAGCGUAAUAGCUCACUGGUCGAGUCGGCCUGCGCGGAAGAUGUAACGGGGCUAAACCAUGCACCGAAGCUGCGGCAGCGACGCUUAUGCGUUGUUGGGUAGGGGAGCGUUCUGUAAGCCUGUGAAGGUGUGCUGUGAGGCAUGCUGGAGGUAUCAGAAGUGCGAAUGCUGACAUAAGUAACGAUAAAGCGGGUGAAAAGCCCGCUCGCCGGAAGACCAAGGGUUCCUGUCCAACGUUAAUCGGGGCAGGGUGAGUCGACCCCUAAGGCGAGGCCGAAAGGCGUAGUCGAUGGGAAACAGGUUAAUAUUCCUGUACUUGGUGUUACUGCGAAGGGGGGACGGAGAAGGCUAUGUUGGCCGGGCGACGGUUGUCCCGGUUUAAGCGUGUAGGCUGGUUUUCCAGGCAAAUCCGGAAAAUCAAGGCUGAGGCGUGAUGACGAGGCACUACGGUGCUGAAGCAACAAAUGCCCUGCUUCCAGGAAAAGCCUCUAAGCAUCAGGUAACAUCAAAUCGUACCCCAAACCGACACAGGUGGUCAGGUAGAGAAUACCAAGGCGCUUGAGAGAACUCGGGUGAAGGAACUAGGCAAAAUGGUGCCGUAACUUCGGGAGAAGGCACGCUGAUAUGUAGGUGAAGUCCCUCGCGGAUGGAGCUGAAAUCAGUCGAAGAUACCAGCUGGCUGCAACUGUUUAUUAAAAACACAGCACUGUGCAAACACGAAAGUGGACGUAUACGGUGUGACGCCUGCCCGGUGCCGGAAGGUUAAUUGAUGGGGUCAGCGCAAGCGAAGCUCUUGAUCGAAGCCCCGGUAAACGGCGGCCGUAACUAUAACGGUCCUAAGGUAGCGAAAUUCCUUGUCGGGUAAGUUCCGACCUGCACGAAUGGCGUAAUGAUGGCCAGGCUGUCUCCACCCGAGACUCAGUGAAAUUGAACUCGCUGUGAAGAUGCAGUGUACCCGCGGCAAGACGGAAAGACCCCGUGAACCUUUACUAUAGCUUGACACUGAACAUUGAGCCUUGAUGUGUAGGAUAGGUGGGAGGCUUUGAAGUGUGGACGCCAGUCUGCAUGGAGCCGACCUUGAAAUACCACCCUUUAAUGUUUGAUGUUCUAACGUUGACCCGUAAUCCGGGUUGCGGACAGUGUCUGGUGGGUAGUUUGACUGGGGCGGUCUCCUCCUAAAGAGUAACGGAGGAGCACGAAGGUUGGCUAAUCCUGGUCGGACAUCAGGAGGUUAGUGCAAUGGCAUAAGCCAGCUUGACUGCGAGCGUGACGGCGCGAGCAGGUGCGAAAGCAGGUCAUAGUGAUCCGGUGGUUCUGAAUGGAAGGGCCAUCGCUCAACGGAUAAAAGGUACUCCGGGGAUAACAGGCUGAUACCGCCCAAGAGUUCAUAUCGACGGCGGUGUUUGGCACCUCGAUGUCGGCUCAUCACAUCCUGGGGCUGAAGUAGGUCCCAAGGGUAUGGCUGUUCGCCAUUUAAAGUGGUACGCGAGCUGGGUUUAGAACGUCGUGAGACAGUUCGGUCCCUAUCUGCCGUGGGCGCUGGAGAACUGAGGGGGGCUGCUCCUAGUACGAGAGGACCGGAGUGGACGCAUCACUGGUGUUCGGGUUGUCAUGCCAAUGGCACUGCCCGGUAGCUAAAUGCGGAAGAGAUAAGUGCUGAAAGCAUCUAAGCACGAAACUUGC
rnacentral:rRNA from 1 species